rnacentral:lncRNA from 1 species
CUGGGUCUCGCUUGCUGGCGGGGACCCCGGAGCCGUCGGUGCAUGCGCUACCAGACGCACUCAACAACCGGAGAACGCAGGAGGGUUCCGAGGAUGGCCCGAGGUGAGGGACCGCAGACGUUCGCCUUGUCUCUCCUGGCUGCUUACCUCAGCUUCCAUAGUGCAAUUGGCUUGCUUCCUCGAUACACCUUCUUGAUUGGUUCCUUCCCCUUAUCUGCCCGAGGCCUCUUUGAUUGGGAGGUUCCUUAGCCCCCUUAGUUGGCCUUGGGUUCUCUCCAUGGAGGGUGGGGGAAACAAGAACUGAGAAUUUGAAGGGUCGAGAUCUUAUUCUUUUCCUCCCGCAGCCAGCCCGAGGACUGGAGUCACCCCGAAGAUGGAGACUCUCGUGCGAUUUACGUCAUAUCUGCGCCUUCCAUCUAUGCCCGGGAGGUAGCUACCCACCUCUACCCGCUCCGCGCACUUUGGGCACGCUGGGCGGAGGCAGCCCCUGCAUUUCCCGUAGCCCUCCUUUACCCUAUCUGUAAGCUGAGGAGGGUAGAGUCUCUGGAAGGUCCUUAAGCCACCCCUCAGUUAUGGCUUAAAUUAAUUCUAGUUUGCAGCCCUUUUGCUGUCGUUUGGAGCUAUUUGCCAUCUUCUCUUUGGCAGACCUGUGGCCUUCGUGAGGUCACAGUGGGAGCCUCAGCCAGAGCUUCACUGUUUUCCCCUCCCUGGGGAGAGGGAGAGGAGGCAGAGGGGCAGCCCUUUCUAAUGCCACCUACUCAUUUCAUUUCUAGGCCUGACCUGCCCCUUGUCCAUCAGCGCCUGGAGACAGGACCCGGAUAUUUUUGUAUUUACUUGGUGGUGCCCAAUGUUCUGCCUUAGACACUUUGGAGCUGGAGGGGGUGGCUGGGAGAAUUUUACUGUUGGGAGUUGUACAUAAUGGUUAUUUAUAUCCUAUUUUCUCCUCUCUCCAUCUCUGUCCAGAGACCUCUAUAAAGGCUCUUACUUUGAUCAGCUUUGACUCACUGGGCUAAGUGCUUU